rnacentral:lncRNA from 1 species
CUGGGUCAUACUUAUUGGUCUUUGGUCUGCAUCUUCUGCAGGGACUGGAUUUAUCACCUUACUUUCUUGCUGUUGCUCAAUUUAAGGAAAAGAGAAGCAACCAGAGAAAAGAUCCAAUCAGGUGGAUACAUGGAAAUGGUGAAAACACAGGCUUGCCUUCAAAAUCUUUUGACCUUGUCUCAGUUGCUUAUGUGGUAUGUUGUGUUUUCUUGAAAACUUAAAAACUAAAUUACAUUUGUAAUUAGCUUUCAAGAGAAACUCAAUGCAGAUAUGACUAAUACAAGCCCCCCCCCCCCCCCCCCCCCAACAAAUAUUGUAUUAUUAUUUUUAUAUGAAACACAUCAAUUUUUCUUUUGUUGAGUGAUGAUGCGAUUGAAAGGAUAUGAACAUAGAAAAGAUAUGAAAUGAGAGAUGAUUUAAUUUUCUAUUAUUGAAACGUAAUCCUGCUUAUAGUUUUUUUGCCCAAUCCAUGCUAACUUUGGAUAGAAAAUUCUUCCUAUGGCAAUUUGUUGAAAAUCAUAUUCUCACGUCCACUAACAUGGCUAUUUCCUUGAAUAAAUUCAGGAAAUGAGUAUUGUGCAGAGAAUCUUAUUACACUAGCAAGGGAAGAUUUACAUCAAUAUAAAUCUUGUGAUAUUCAUGUUUUGACUUUUACUAUUGGCGCUUCGGUAAUUGGCUAAUUUGGAAGCUAGAAUAUCUCGUACAGUAAGAAAAUAUGCCAUACUAAAAGUUUCUCCUUGGUCAGAGUAUGAACUCCAUCUGAAGAAUAACGGAAAGGAAACUUCCCUAUCAGGAUAUGGUCAAGCUUUCCAUAUUAUUUUCAUUGACUUGUGGAAAAAAGAUAUUUUACGUGCAUGUUAUCAUUUACAUGGUUUGAUCCGUCUCAUAACAAAAGAAGUGGAUAAAUUGCUAUAAUUGAGUUAAAAAAGAAAAAAGAAAAAAAAGAAAAAACAACUUGUAAAAGUAGUUAUAGUACUUGUCUUUCCUUGAGUGGUAAAAGUAGGACGUCAACCUUAUAUGUUAACACAAGGGGUUGAAGUCUAGAAUAGGGAAGAAAACGGGCUCUACUUAUAAUUUUUUCCAACUCCAUGUAUUUAUUGAUAGUGGUUGGCUAUGAGAUCUUAUGGAACAACGUUCGUAGCUUGAUUCUUGGCAGCUUUUGGAGACCUUUUUUAAAGCAUGUAUUCCUUUCCCUGACUCUGUUGUGCUGUUGCAGUUUCACGAGUGCCCUGAAAGAGCAAUUAAAAAUAUAGUGAAGGAAGCAUUUCGGCUUCUUCGACCUGGAGGCACUUUUGCUGUGACUGAUAACUCGGUAAAUAGCUUUAGAAUAUUGCAAAUAGUGUUCAUCUUUUAUAUAAUGUAAUAAUAUAUCAUACCAGACCAUUUCUUACAUUACUUUCCUUUUGUUCUCUUUUGCAGCCAAAAUCAAAGAUUCUUCAGGUAUGUUUUGUUUGUUGCUUUGUCAAGUUUUCUUUUGGCUUUUCUUCAUCAUGUGAUCAAGCUUUCCAUUAUCACUCAUGAUGAAAACAUCUGGAUCUCGCUUUUCUAUAUUCUUAGACCAAAAGGGAACAAUGGUCGGAAGAUGGUGACAUUUUGGAAACAUUGCGUAAACCUGAAAAUAUUUAAUCAUGGGAGCAUCAGCAACCUUUUAUGAAUGGAAUAUGAAAUCCUUACAGUUCUAGACUAACUGAGUUAGCGUCCUUAAUGUUCACGUAUUACAGGAACUAUCACCGGUGUUAUUUACAUUGAUGAAGAGCACUGAACCUUUUCUGGACGAAUACUACCUUACGGAUCUUGAAGGUAGCAUGCGAGAAAUUGGUUUUGUCAACGUGCAGACUAUUAUGACAGAUCCAAGACACAGAACUGUAACUGCCACUGUGCCUUACUGAUAUGUGUCAUCCUCUUGAGUGUGCUCAUGGAGAUCAUGAAACCAUUAUAGGAACAAGAAAUUUCUUGAAUUCAUGCCCUAAUAUUUUAUGUACACACUUGCAUAUUGCAAGUAUAGAUUGACGAGAAAAUGUUAAUUUUGUAACGAGGCAGAAAUGCUGGUGGAGAAUAGUUCGAUGCAAUGUCAGUUUCUGAUGAAAGAAAGUUUUCAUAUUAUACAAAG